AUUAGGGGCCAAUGAGGUGUGAGAAGAGAAGUGAGCAGCGUCAGGCGUAAGCGCGAGCGGCUUGUUUCAGACGUCUGCCCUUUUCCGUUCUGUUCGGAGGCUGGAAAGCAGACGCGGGAGCAAUGCCGCUUCCACCGUGUUCCGUGUGGACAGGAGUCUAGGGGAGCUCAGCCACGGCCUGUCAGGGGCCUAGGCUUUCUGCGAGGCCUGCGCUCUCUGAACGGGACCGAGUGUAGCUCACGAUGGAAAUGCAGCAAGGGCUCCUGACAAGUGUUGUGGCUCCUCUCGCCAGUGAGGCUGUGGACCACUGCAGCUGGAGGAAGAGGCCGUGGGCCCAGAAAUGCAGGCGCCUCCAGACGCUGGAAAAGACAAGAAAACAGUCGUCCCCCGGGACCCCAGAAGGAACACAGCCCAGCGACUCCAGUCUCAGCAGACGUCCAAAACUAGCCUCGAGAGCCCCGAGACACAGCGUGCAGGACGAGGGAAGAGAGUGAUCGGCCGUCGGCCCCCCAGAGGCCCGCGUGUAACUGCCGAGCCAGCAGAGCCGCGCGUCGGACCCCCGGAACCGAGCACUGGUGCUAGAAGACAACGGACCAACAACCCGGAAAGUACGAGUAUACAUUACGAAAGGAUUCCCACGACCAGAAAUGCAAUCACACGGAUGACUCCUCCUCUGUCUGCCUUCGUUCACCCCCUGAACAUUACGUUUGUGACAUUCAUCCACGUGUGGCGGUAACUCCUUCAUUUUCACCACCGGGCAGCAUUCCAAGGUGUGACUGUGCACAACGCACUCAACCGUCCCCCUACCGGCGGCCACGCAGUUUCCGGCUUGGGGCCUCCCUGAGCUGUGCCGCUGAACAGGAACGUGCCGGAGAGAAAUUCCUCUCUCGACAGCUGCUCCCUGGUUUGCUUUGAAGAAGCCGCCUAUGAACACCCAGUGGGGUGCCUCGCAAGGUGCCAGGUGGACCCAGCACUGAAUUCAUGCCCCGUCCUUGCCCCCUUCCCUGUGACUCUGUGCUGUGUCGAUGCUGCAGCAGGAAGGAAUCGUCCCACGUUAGACUCCCCAUCGGGUUAUAGGAGAUCCGAUGUCACUCUCGGAACCAUACACGGAGCCUGGGGCAAUCAGAGUGACCAGCCAUUCUCCUCCCUUGUUUGUUUGUUUGUUUGUUUGCUUGUAUUUAAUGCACGCCUGUCCCCUUCCUCUGUAGCAUCGGCUCCCUCUUAAAUCAUCUCCCAACACAGUAACGCGUCAGGCCGACGGGGAGCUUGGGAAAUGCACGGCUUUGAUUAAUUGCGUUUCUGGUUGACAGAGUCGAGCCGAAGCCAUGCUGCUCUGACUGUUGCUGUUGUACAGCUUUCUACUCUGCAGACUCCGUUAGUAUCCGCUACGAAACACACUUGGAUCCCACGUUGAUGACAAGCCUCUGUGGACACCUGGGAGCCUCCGUUUCCAUGUGAGGUACCACUCCUCCACAGAAGGAAGGAAGUACUGCCACAGGCCAGAACGUGGCUGAACUGGAAGGUGGAAGUGAAGGAAGCCACACACGAGAGGACGAGACACGAGAGGACACGUAUGGUCUAACUCCGUUUAGAUGAGAUACUAGGGAUGGGAAAUCCAUAGGGACAGAAAGCCGCGUAGUGAUUUUCAGGGGCUGGGGGAGGGGGGAGGGGGAUUGGUUACAGGGUUUCAGUUUGUGGGGGGAAAGUUCUGGACCUAGAUCAUGGUGAUGGUUGCGCAAUUUGCAGAUUCCUUAGUGCCCCUGAAUCCUACACUUUAAAAUGGUUAAAAUGAUAGAUUUCAUGUUACGUGUAUUUUUCUCACACACACACACACACACACACACACACACACACACACAGAAAAUUAAAUACAGAGUAACCAUAUGACUCAGCAGUUCCCCUGCGAAGUACAGAGCCAAGAGAAUUGAAAGCAAAUAUCCACACAGAAACCUGUCCAGGACCGUUCACAGCGGCAUGAUUCACAACAGCCAACGGGUGGAGACGAUCCAAACGGCCCUAAUGAGUGGAUGCGUGAGUUUCCUCCGGCUGCCGAAAGGCACGGCCACAAACCAGGUGAUUUCAAACCACAGAAAUGUACGGUCUCCCAGCUCUGGAGACCAGACGACUGAAACCAAGGUGUCGGAGGUGCCUCGCCCCUCCGGGAGCUGCAGGGGGCUCCUCUCUUGCCAAGCUCGGCAUUUCCUGGGCUGUGACUGUGUCACUUCAAUUUCUGCCUCUGUUGUCACGUGGCCGUCUUCUGUGUAUCUUACUAGGACGCGAGUCAUCAAGGGCUUGAUCCUCAGUAUGACUGUAUUUCACUAGUUACAUGGGCAACCACCCUGUAUCCAAAUAAGGUCAGGUUCUGAGGUACGGAGGGCUGGGAUCUCAACAUUUCCUUUUUGGAGGACACAAUCAGCUCCGAACAAUGGACCGACGCCAUGCGGUCUGUCCGUACAAGGGAAUGCUGUCCAGCCAUAAAAGGAAUGGAAAGCCUGCAAAACGUAAGGCCUGCAAACAUGCUGCUCAGAGAAAGAAGCCGGACCCACAAGAUCCCGUGUGGUGUGAUUCCACUUGUGCAAAACACCCAGAGCAGGCGAAUCCGGAGACAAAGUGGAUGUGAAGGCUGGAGGGAGGGAAAGAAUGAGGAGGGGCUGCCUAAUGGGUCUGGAGUUUAUUUCUGGAGUGAUGGAAAUGCUCAGGAAUUUUAUAGUGAUUAACUGUUGUACAAAAUUAUGCACACACUAAACACUAGUGGACCGUGCACUUUAAAAGCAUGAAAUUACAGUGUGUCAUUUAUAUCUCAAUAGGGAAAAAAAAAAAAAAAAGACUGUUAAUGGGAUGAAAAACAAGUUACAGACGGAGAGAAAAUAUUUGCAAACCACUUUUUUUUUUUUUUUUUUUUUUUUUGGAGAGAGA